rnacentral:lncRNA from 1 species
UUCUUACUAGAAUAGUAUUAUUUUAGAAUUUUUGAAAACCAUUAGAGUAAAGUAGUAAGUAAGUACUAUUACAAUGGGUCCAAAUCUUGACUGGCCCAUGAUGUAAGCAACCUGAGUCUGAUAUCAUGUGGAAGAGAACAACAAAUGGUAGAGAUUGUGAAGUGUGGAGAAAUAUAGGACCAUUCAGCCACCAUUGUUUUCUGUCCUAGCUGUACGUUGUUGUCUCUCUAUAACAUCAAAAGGUAAAGUUUCAAAGUACUCAAAUUCCACAUGCCCAUUCAAAACUAGAAAAAAAUGUCCUUAUACAUGCAUGUUUUUUCAUCAUUCUACGGUGUACCUCUUUCAUCAAUGACCUUUCAGCAUUUUAAAAUUCUUUGAUCAGACUCAAAUGAUAUUUGUUGGUAGUAUAAGUUCACAGUCGUCAAUAUUGUUAUCACCAAUAUUCAUUUUUCCUUAUUAUUUUAAUAUUUAAAUUAGAAUGAAUCAUGUAAUCAUCUCAAUCGUUCUGAUGAGGAUAAUCACAAACUUCUAACGUAUAUUACAAGUUACUCCCUCCGGUCCUAUAUAUAAGGAAUACAUUGAGAAAAACACACAUACCAAGGAAACUUAUUUUUUUUAUUAAAAAUUCUAAAAUGUUAUGUGUUAUUCCAAAAUUAACCUUAAGAAUGUGUUUGUGUAAUUAAUGCAUAACAUUGGAAUAUGUUGCAUUUUAUACAAUUUAAUAAGGGUAUACAAGAGAUUAUCUAUUUAAUAAAUAAUAAAUUUAAAGAGUGUUUCUUAUAAAAAGGACCAAAUUUUUUUUCUAAAGUGUUCCUUAUAUAUAAGACCGGAGGGAGUACUAGACUUUUGAGUAAUUUAUAGCAGUGACCACUUUGGAAUUUAAAUUGAUGUUCUUCUAUAUAUGGAAUUUACACUCGUCUAUAUUCAUUUUUUCUUAUUUUUUUUACCAUGAUAUUUGUAUGAAAUUUUUACCCUCAUUAGCGAUCACUAAUCUCCAUCGGGAAAUUUGUGGGACACACAAGGUGAGUCCUCUCCUCCUAACCAAAUUUUCUCCAUAUACAUAAGCCAGAAAUUAAAUAGAAUUCCUGAUUACAUGCUUAAGAAGACCAAAACUCUUAUCACUAGAACCAAUUCAUUGUUGGUUUUUUUCCUUAUUAUUUUAAUUUUAAUUUUAAAUUAGAAUGAAUCAUGUGUAAUCAUCUCACUCGUUCUAAUUAGGACAAUUGCAAACUUCUACUUCUAACUUAUAUUAUAAGUUACUAGACUUUUGAGUAAUUUAUAGCGGUGACCACUUUGGAAUUAAUUACCUAAUGUUCUUCUAUAUGUAUUUUUCCAGUAGAUAGAUGAAAAUAUGAAAUGACAAGCCGUUAAAAUUAAAGUUCUUACAUAUAUAUUAAAUUCACCAAAAAAUUGUAAGAUAAAACACGUGAUAUAUAUAAAUUCUUAUAGAAUUUUAUCUCUUUC